rnacentral:rRNA from 1 species
CCUACGGGGUGCAGCAGGCGCGAAACCUCCGCAAUGCGGGCAACCGCGACGGGGGGACCCCGAGUGCCGUCGGGGCAAAGCUCCGGCGGCUGUACCGGGGUGUAAAAAGCCCCGGGUAGAAAGCGGCGGGCAAGACCGCUGCCAGCCGCCGCGGUAAUAGCGGCGCCGCAAGUGGUGGCCGCUUUUAUUGGGCCUAAAGGGGCCGUAGCCGGUCCCGUGGGUCCCCGCCGAAAGCCCGCGGCUUAACCGCGGGAGUCGGCGGGGAAACUGCGGGACUUGGGACCGGGAGAGGCCGGAGGUACCCCCGGAGUAGGGGUGAAAUCCUGUCAUCCCGGGGGGACCGCCAGUGGCGAAGGCGUCCGGCUGGAACGGGUCCGACGGUGAGGGCCGAAAGCCGGGGGAGCAAACCGGAUUAGAUACCCGGGUAGUCCCGGCUGUAAACGAGGCGGACUAGGUGUGGGGGCGGCCACGAGCCGCCCCAGUGCCGUAGGGAAGCCGUUAAGUCCGCCGCCUGGGGAGUACGGCCGCAAGGCUGAAACUUAAAGGAAUUGGCGGGGGAGCACCACAACCGGUGGAGCCUGCGGUUUAAUUGGAUUCAACGCCGGAAACCUUACCGGGGGCGACAGCAGGAUGAAGGCCAGGUUGACGACCUUGCCGGACGAGCUGAGAGGAGGUGCAUGGCCGCCGUCAGCUCGUGCCGUGAGGUGUCCUGUUAAGUCAGGUAACGAGCGAGACCCCCACCCGCAGUUGCCAGCGGGCCCCGUAAGGGGUGCCGGGCACUCUGCGGGGAUCGCCGCCGAUAAGGCGGGUGAAAGUGGGGGCGACGGCAGGUCCGUAUGCCCCGAAACCCCCGGGCUACACGCGGGCUACAAUGGCGGGGACAAUGGGAUCCGACCCCGAAAGGGGAAGGAAAUCCCGUAAACCCCGUCGUAGUUCGGAUUGCGGGCUGCAACUCGCCCGCAUGAAGGUGGAAUCGGUAGUAACCGUGCCUCAGAAGGGCACGGUGAAUACGUCCCUGCUCCUUGCACACACCGCCCGUC